rnacentral:rRNA from 1 species
AAUCAAGUGCCUUAAGGGUGUUCGGUGGAUGCCUUGGCGCUGAGAGGCGAUGAAGGACGUGCUACGCUGCGAUAAGCCGUGGGGAGCUGCGAAGAAGCUUUGAUCCGCGGAUUUCCGAAUGGGGAAACCCACCUUCGAUAGCCGGAACUCCAAGACCUUGUGUGUUGGGGUUCGACCAGAAAUGCGAGAAAUCAAACCGCGAGGUUUUGGAUUUCCGGUUAUCAAGAGAAGGUAUGAGACCUCCGAAUAAAAUAGGAGGUUUUAAGCAAACCCAGGGAACUGAAACAUCUAAGUACCUGGAGGAAAGGACAUCAAUCGAGACUCCGUUAGUAGUGGCGAGCGAACGCGGACCAGGCCAGUGAUACAUCAAAGACAAUCGGAACCUGUCAGGAAAGCAGGGCCU